rnacentral:lncRNA from 1 species
UGUGUGUGUGGGGGGAGAAAAUCAAGUGUAAAAUACUAGAUUUUUACGAUACACAUAAAAAUAUUUCAGUGAUUGAUUUUUUUUUCAGCCAAUGCAUACCUCAUAUACAAACAAGUAAACAGACUGAAUCGUCAUAAGUUAUCAAAACUUCAAUUUUGGACGAGUGUUUGCACAGAAUUGAUAGGGGAAUGCAGAAACCCAAACAAUGAAAGAGGGCGGCCAUCAAUGUCAGCAAUACCCCUACGAAUGACAGGAAAACACUAUCCAUACUUCUGGCAAGGUGUGUUGUUUUUUUUUAUUCAUUAACAACAUAAUUGUAUAAUAUAAAAGAACAUUAAAAUAAAAAGGUGAUACAUACAUUAAGUAGAUCAUAACGGCUUUAUCAAAAUCCACGACGGUAAAAUUAUUUUCAUUGCACUUCAGUUAUUUCAAAACGUUUCAUGUGUUAUGAAUACUAUUUUUGAUAUUUUUGUAGGUUCAAAAAGAAAACUAUGCAGAGUGUGCAAAAAGAAAACAAGAUCAAACUGCCCUACCUGCUGUGUUGCUCUAUGCAUUGGUGACUGUUUCCGCCGGUUUCACUCCAUCAGAUAUUUUUAAUGAACACAUGCCGCGCAUCAUACAUAUUUGUCACUUAAGCACUUUGUGGAUUGAUUACAUUGAAAUGAUGUAAAAUUGAAUAAAACUGUCAAUCAUUAAAGGUGUCUCUGAUAUUCUUAUAUCCAAAACAGUUUUCCUUUUGUAAAUCGAAUCAUUUUUCACUUUGCAAUGUUCAUUUUACUGCCGAUCAUUUUUCAUAACGUUCGCAUGUUGACAAGUACCUGUUUCAUUGCAAUGUCGACGUUAAACACAUUAACGUCAUAAGUAUCACUAUUCUAAUGACGUCAAACCCAUAAACGUUACAGUUUAAAAAUAAAAAUAACAUUGUAAUCUUUUAAGCUAUAUUUGUUAAUCAU